GCCACCGUGCUUCUACAUCUGCAUUGCUUGCUGUUUGGGGUUUUAGGCUGGGUUUCUGUAUAGCCCUUUGACAUCUGCUGAUGUAAAAAGGGCUUUAUAAAUACAUUUGAUUGAUUGAGAUUCAUUUGAAUUGAAUACUUCUAGGAUCAUGGAAUGCAUUUGUUCAGAUUUAUAAUAAAAAGGUAUUUGUUGCAGAAUUUAUAUAUUUUUCAUUUAAUGCAACGAUAUUGGUUGCUGAAAAGUCUGUUUUGAAUGAUUUAAAAUGACAACUAUUUACUCAAGUAAGCCUAUGCAAUCAUCAGGCCUGGACCUACACCUGUUCUGUGAAUUUUUUAUUCUUUUCCACAGUGCAGUUCAUUUUGGAAGAUAUUUUUGGUGCCCAGUCCUUCCAAAAAGCAUGCGAAUAAUAUCCAGUAAAAUUGUACUUCUUACUUGAAAUAAUGAUAGUAGUAUUGCAAUAGUAUGUGGUGGAAACAGGCCUACCUCACUGUUUCCUCAAUGGAUAAACUCCAGCAGGCCUGAGGUUUGGACGCCACCUUGUGGGUAUUAAGGCGUCCGCAUGCUUCUCAUCCAAAACAGUUUAUGGCGUGCAUAGAUUGAUUACAUUUUGUCACUGUUUUGGUCUUAGGCAAGCAUUUUUUCGGCUGUUCGUGCACAAGAUUUUUCCUGAGGCAAGCCGAAGUUCGGUAGCCGAAGUCUACACCCCUUCGUCGGUGAUUGGUUAUCAGUAGGGAUUCUUCAAUGAAGUGUUGGUUGUCAUUGAACUAGAGACGAUGACACAUUGCAACAUUGUUGCAAAGGAGGUGCGAUGACUCAAAUGCAUAAGAAUGGCGGUAAGUUCAGACCUUCGACUCCAGAGUGUCCUAAAUACAAACCAUGUAACUUUACUUCUUUACCUUUACGUCUUCUUGCUCUCUUGAAAAUCUCAAAAUGGAGUCGGUUGGCAGUGGUGAGCUCUCUGAGUAUGAGCCAGACCAGGAUGAAGUGGGCCUACCUGCAGCGACCGGUGUGGUAAAGACUUACAAUGUUUGCCCUGUGAAUCCUACCGGAGAAUAUUUUGGAAUGGUGGGAGUGAGAUUUUUGGAAAGAGUGGAUUGCUACUUUUUGGCCGACGCAAACGUUGUGUCAAGCUGGGUAAAGGGAAAACUGGGAAUGGAUACAUACGUGAAAGUUUCGAGAAGUGGAUUUGUUUAUUUUUUGUGCAUCCUCCACGCAGAGGAAACCUGUGGCGUGCUUUGUUCUCCGGAACGAACAGAGCGCCGCUCAAAGGGGUGCUCAGUCGGGUAGCGUUGAGUGUAGAGGUGGAUCAAAUGAAAAAUAAUGUUCCUGGUGUUUGUGACCCGCCGGUUAGUGAGACGUGGACCCGGUGGCAAUGGCAAGUCUGAGAAUACCCUGUCUGUCUUAUUGAGCUUUGACACAGAGUGUCUACCUGAUAAGGUUCGGUUACUUUAUAUUUUUCUAUUCUGUCAGGGCAUAUGUUCCAAACCUGCUACUGACUGUGCUUUACGUGGCAAGGAUUCAGACCUGUUGCAGCAGUGUGUAGAAGGAAGAUCCCACAGUGUGAGAAAUGUGCAGGAGGGCAUAGUCAGAGGGAGUGUACAGUUGGGAUAGAGAAUGCACUGUGUGUCAACUGUGGGGGUGCCCAUGCAGCUGGGGCCGAAGUGCCCUGUGAAAGAGAGACAGGCUGAGAUUGCCAGAGUUUGAGUGGGAAUGAAAGUGAAGAGAGUAGAGGAUAGCCCAAGGGUGCGUGAUUCAACUGGAAGCCCCCCAGUGAGAAGGCCUGAGAGAGAUCCAGAGAGGAUGAGUUUUAGUAAGGUUGGAUUUAUUUCGUUUAUAGCCAUGGUGAUCAACUGCACUGCGGAGCGGAGAUCACAGAAGAUACUGUAUAUGUGGUAGUUGUAGCAACAGAUAAAUAUUUUGGGUGAGAUUUUAGUGCAGAAAAUCUACAAGAAGUUUUGAGAGAAGGGGUUACAUCCUCCCAUGCCGGCAGCCUGGUGUAGGAUCGCGGUUUUGGGGGGGAUAGUGUAUAGGUGCAGGGUUAGAUGGUGCAAUUUAAGAUUUUUUGUAUGUGACCCAAAUGUGCACGACUAAGACCUAAAAAUGUUAAAAUGAGAUUUGAGUUAGAUGAAUUCAGACUAUUUUGAUUAAGUACACACUUGCUACGGCAACUCGAGGGACAAACUGUACUAUUUCCGCUUUUUUUUCUCACCCCUUUCCUAACCUUAACCUCAGUCUCCUAACCUGCUAUGAAAGUCACUUCUAGUAGCUGUAUCAAAGUGGCGUGAAGUGUUUCUCAGUUCUCUUCGUCCUGGCAAUUGAAACAGAAGUUUAGUCUGUAUUUCUUUUAAUGUAACCUUUAUUUAACUAGGCAAGUCGGUUAAGAACAAAUUCUUAUUUACAAUGGCUAAGUGGUAUUUUGCAUUGGUUACCCAUUGAAGUUGUAAUAUUUAAUGCAUGCAAUGGAAAAGGCUGUACAUAUCUUCAACAACCUCAGGAUAUCUGACAUUGUUGAAACUCUUGUAGACCAAAUUUAUGAGAUGUUAUACAUGCCGUAUCGUCAAUUGGACAUUCGGAGACUUGUCUCGAAGCCACCCCUGCGUUGUCUUGGCUGUGUGCUUAAGGUCGUUGUCCUGUUGGAAGGUGAACCUUGGCCCCAGUCUGAGGUCCUGAGCACACUGGAGCAGGUUUUCAUCAAGGAUCUAGCUGUACUUUGCUCCAUCUUUCCCUUGAUCCUGACUAGUUUCCCAGUCCCAGAACAGAAGUUAUUUCGACGACAAACAGCCACCUCAAUCUGCAAAAUGUAAACCUAUCAAUGGCAUGAAGGCUACUCUAGAGAAAAAUUUUAACAGGAUGACCCACAUUGAAAAGUAAAAUGAGGAUCAUGGCGAAACGCUAAUACAACAAGACCAGGCUAUUAACUACUUAAUGGGCCAGGUAGAGGAAUUGCAAAAGGGAGAAUUGUUGAAAAACCGUUUGCGUCAUAAUAAUAUAUUCAAAUGUUGGGGGUCUCAACCAAUGCAGAAAGAGGGCGGAAAAAGUCUACAUUUGUGGACCAGAUGGUGAGGGAGUUCUUGGAAAUCGAUGCUGCUACACCUUUGGUCAUGGAGACAGCCCACAGAACGGCAAGAAAAAAAUAUGCCGACUAACACCGUACCCAAAACGGCUGCGCGCCAUUGUGCGUGAAUUGAUUUUGUUCCCCCACACCAAACGCGAUCACGAGACGCAGGUUGAAAUAUCAAAACAUACUCUGAACCAAUUAUAUUAAUUUGGGGACAGGUCGAAAAGCAUUAAACAUUUAUGGCAAUUUAGCUAGCUAGCUAAUUUGUCCUAUUUAGCUAGCUUGCUGUUGCUAGCUAAUUUGUCCAGGGAUAUAAACGUUGAGUUGUUAUUUUACAUGAAAUGCACAAGGUCCUCUACUCCGACAAUCCACACAAACGGUCAACCGAAUAAUUUCUAGUUAUCACCUCCUUCCAGGCUUUUUCUUCUUUGGACUAUAUGGCAUCUAACUUUCAUUGUUACCACGAUGACUGAUCGAACUCAGUUCAUCUUUCAAUCACCCACGUGGGUAUAACCAAUGAGGAGAUGGGAGAGGCAGGACUUGCACCGCGUUCAGCGUCACAAAUAGAACUGACUUCUAUUUUAGCGCUUGGCAACGCAGACGCUCGUUGGCGCGAAAUCAUUAAAUAACAUGUUUCAAUUUAUUUUGCAGCGCACGUGACGCAAGCAGUAUGGUCAGCAUGUAAGUGGUAAAUUGUUGGGCCCAGGAGUGAGAGCGAAGGAAUCAAGGUCCAAGAAGUAACAGUAGCCUAAAUCUACUGCGAAACAUUGUCCAAUCCACAUUGACUACUGAAGCGACCCCUUCUUAAGGAUUUGAAACUACCUGGAUUUAUGGUCAUUAUUGGGACCCAUUUGCACGUGAGCUAGCUAAUUGCUCACAAUGAGGGAAUCUUAUUUGGACAAAUUUGCCUACUUGAGCAGUAAGCCUAGGUUUACAUGUACAGUUAUGUAAUCGAUUUGAUUGUUGAUUUGUGUUUCUUCAAUGUAUGCCUUGUGUUUGGCUGGCUCUAAAUGUGUAUUGUUGAUGCCAUUCCCUUAGUUACACAUAGCGAGUCUACACAGCCUACACAUAGUAUAUACAAUAAUGAAAUCACCUGGUCCCAACAUACAUGGCAAGUCAAGAAAAGCCAUUGUAACUUGUCCACAAUGCAAACGGUAAUUUAAAAACUUCAAAACACAUUUAUGAAGAAAGCAUACAAAUUGCUUUCAAAACGUGUCCAAGGAAAGAUUUUUGGCAUGUGAGUGCAUUGAUGUGAGAAAUGGUGUGUUUGCAGUCAAAUACAUUUUCUGGUCGAGCAACACCCAUACAUGUUGUGAAAAAAACUUGGGCUAAUUCAGUUUCAAAUCUGUUAUGCAUGCUGAAGUAUAAAAAGCUGUUAAUGUACUUUUUCUUUACUUUCACAUACACUGUGUUCAGAAACAUUGCUCGGAUCUUGUCCCCUGGACCUUGGAGGACUUUGUGUGGAUGAUCAGGAAAACAUGCAGCAAAUUAGGCAACGGUGGUGCCUAGUUUUCCUGCAGAACUUUCCCAUGCCGUCUGAAGAAGAGAGGUUGAAAGAUCGAAAAAGGCGGUGAAAUCAAAACGCACUACAGGAUGAUGUAGAUGUCCCCCCAAGAAGUCACAUCAGCAUCCAGCUCUGCAGGACCAGGUACUGUAUAGGCUAUUAGCUAAAGUAAGGUGCAUUCCUGUACACACAUCCCUAGAGGUUCCCUUACAUUACUUAAUAACCACAAUCUGUUUUCUUUCUAGACGAUACUGAAAACAAAAUGCGCUGUGAACUGGUUAAGUAGUCUGUGUGUAAUACUGAAGGCUUGUAGCAUGGUGAACUGGGAGCUGUGAACUGGGUAAGUAGUCUGUGUGUAAUACUGAAGGCUUGUAGCAUGGUGAACUGGGAGCUGUGAACUGGGUAAGUAGUCUGUGUGUAAUACUGAAGGCUUGUAGCAUGGUGGACUGGGAGCUGUGAACUGUGUAAGUAGUCUGUGUGUAAUACUGAAGGCUUGAUGCAUGGUGAACUAGGAGCUGUGAACUGGGUAUGUAGUCUACUGUGUAUAAUACUGAAGGCUUGAUGCAUGGCAAGAUAUACUAGUUGUGAUGACUUGGUGAGUAGUUAUAGAUAUCACUGAAAGCCCCUUUUAGUAAUAGUGGCUUUUGUUUGCAUGGUGGUAUUGUGAAAGUGGGGUGUAAUUUCACUUGAUCACCCAAUGAGGCACUACUCUUAAUAUUUAUUAUUUUUUCUUCAUGGAAGCAGAUGUUCUUCUAAGCGACACCCUAGAGGCAGCAAGGUGGUGCAAACUCCAAACAUUUAAAGGCACUGUUUCCCUCCCUAGUGUAAUUGGGAUGGACGGGGAAGACCCCAUUACAACCCUUAAAGAACUAUGGUUGUAUGAUGGACUGGAUGAAGAGGAAAAUAUUCUCCUCAAGGAACCAGUCAUGUUACAGAGAUUGAGAUGUUCUAUGUGGAGGCAGUUGACAACAAGAAAAUGACUUGUCUUUGCCUCUUUUGAGGAGCAGGAGUGAAGCCAUUUUUGAGGAGUGGUCAAACCUUGUUUUUGUCUGCUGUGUUAAUUGUGUUAUGUUGUUUAGUAAAGAUGACGUAGAAGUCACCCGAGUCUCUGAUCUCUUUACUGGAGCUGGUAUAACUCAAUGUACAAAGCACAUUCAGCUUGUCAGUAUGUUUAUAUGGCAUAGUCUGUCUCCAUUCUCAUGAGGAAAGUAAAUAGCAUUGUAAAUCAGGAUAGGUAGUAACAGUAUAUGCUCAAUGAAAUAUAAUUCAAGUUAACGUUUAUCAACAAUUUUAACAGUACAUGACAUACAUAAGUCUGUUCACAACAACAUCAGUAGCUUGUCUCAUAGCAUGAAACAAAACGUGUUAACACAUCUGCUGGUACUUUAUAAUAUUUCUUACGAUCUUCAAAAUUUAAAUAUGUUUGAAUUCAAUGUGUGCCUUGCGCAAACGUGUGUGUUCAGUGUGUGACUGUCAUAUCAGAUGGACAAAAAGGUGGACGGGGUCAAACGUUUGACUCCGUCCACAUUGAGCCCAGCCCUGAAUUGCACACUGCAGCCAGGGAUACUUGCAUAUUUUGGUGUGAAGUUCUCCAUGUUAAACAGGACAUCACAGGUGUUAUUCAACCAGACCCAUGCCAUCUCCUAGGUAUUGUUCCUGUGGAUACACUCCAAUCCUCUCCAUUUAAAUUGAUAGAUUCUUUAUUAAGCAGCAGCAAUGAAAUGUGUAACAAAAUGCUGGAAAAAUUAACAUGCACCCUCAAAAGAUGUGGUUAGGUCUAUGCGGGGAACUUGCUGACAUGGAAAGAAUUACAUCAAUCUUGCAACAUGGGUGGUUGUCCUUGAUGACCCUACCUGAGCCACUGCCUGUUCACCCUGCUACCAUCCAGAAGGCGAGGUCAGUACAGGUGCAUCAAAGCUGGGACAGAGAGAUUGAAAACCAGCUCUCUCAAGGCCAUCACUGUUAAACAGCCAUCACUAAACACAGGGGCUGCUGCCUACAUACAUGAAAUCAUUGGCCACUAAUGUUCAUAACUCAUCUCAACUGUAUUUUAUACCAUUUAUUGCAUCUUACCGACGCCGCUCAGUCAUUGCUCAUCCAUAUAUUCCAUUAGAUGUGUGUAUUAGGUAGUUGUGGAAUUGUUAGAUAUUACUGCACUGUCAGAACUAGAAGCAUUUCGCUACACUCGCAAUAACAUCUGCUAACCAUGUGUAUGUGACCAAUAAAAUUUGAUUUGAAGGUGUCUGGUCAGAGUUCUUGAUAUAUCGUACUGGUCUUAUUCUGUAAUUUGAGGUUUUUCUGUGGCUCUAUCCAAAUUGUAUUCUUAUUAAGACUCUUGAAAUAUUUGCUCUAUACAGCAAAAAUGUACCCUUAACAUGUGAAUGUAAUUACACUUUUUAAAGACAGCAAAGAUGUGUAUAUGGUAUAUGCUCUUUAAUAAAAAUGUGGUAGAAAAUAA